UUUAUGCUAUUAGACGGAUAGCUUGGUUUUGGUUUCGACGAAGGACGUGGCAAGCUGCGAUAAGCUUGGGGUAGACGCAUGCAGUCUUUGAUCCCAAGAUUUCCGAAUUACUCAGAGAUGAGAGAUGACGCGGGGAAUUGAAACAUCUUAGUACCCGCAGGAAAAGAAAACAAUAUGUGAUACCCUUAUUAGCAGAGAGCGAAAAGGGCAAAGGGCAAGCUGAAUCUCCUCUUGAAAGAGAGGUAGAGAUGUGGUGUGGAAAGCUGCUAAGUUAGUGAUUCAAAGUUACCUGGAAAGGUACACCUUAGAGGGUGAUAGUCCCGUAGAUUAAACUAAUACACGGCUCCAUAAAAGAGUAGGGCGUCUUGGAUUAGACGUCUGAAUAUGGCAGGAUUAACUGCUAACCCUAAAUAAAACCAAAGUCCGAUAGUGCACUAGUACCGCGAGGGAAAGCUGAAAAGUACUCUUAACAGAGAGUUAAAAGACUUGAAAUCUAAUAGCUACAGUUAGCUACUGCUCUUACGUCGUAAGACAAAGGGUUGUAGCGUACGUUUCGAAAAACGGGCUAGGGAGUUUCUCUUUGUGGCGAGGCUAAGUAACCACGUUGCGUAACCGAAGCGAAAGCAAGUAUGAAAAUGCGUUUAGUCACAAAGUUAAGACCUGAAGCCAGAUGAUCUAUCCAUGGGCAAGCUGAAGUCUUUCGAAAGGAGGAUGGAGGGCUGAACUGGUGUUAUGGACAUGUACUCAAAUGAUCUGUGGAUAGGGGUGAAAAGCCUAUCUAAUCUGGCAAUGGCUGGUUCCUACUGAAAUAUGCCUCCGUAUAGUCUUGUUUAGUUCAUUGGCGGCGUAUAGUACGGAUAAUCUUUGCAGGGGCUAAUGCUUACGGAAGAUUUUCCAACUCAGAAUCUGUCAAUUACGUAAAACAAGAAACAGGGGCGGUAUGUAAGAUACCGUUCCGAGACCCAAACAAGGGAGACCAGAGUUAAGGCCCCAAAAUUUAUGCUAAGUGUAACGAACGGUGUUUUGAACCUGAGACACUAGGGAUGUAAGCCCAGAAGCAGCUAUCAUUUAAAGAAAGCGUAACAGCUCACCUAUUGAGGUUCAGAGCCCGGAAAAUGGACGGGGCUAAGCAUAAUGCCGAUACUUUGGCGGCACUCUAGAUAGAGUGUUCGGGUAAGUAGGCGUGGUUUUUGCGCAGAAGUUUUUUCGAGAGAAAGAAUGGAGCGAAAACCAAUGAGAAUCCUAGUAAUAGUAGGAUGUGAUAUUCUUGAGAACAGAAUACGUCGAAAGAGUAAGGUUUCCUUGGAAAUAUAUGUUAGCCAAGGGUUAGUCAGGACCUAAGUUGUAUCUUAACCGAGUACGACGAUGGAUGACAGGUUAAUAUUCCUGUACUAAUUAGCUCUUAUAUAGUAUGUUCAGUUUUCGGAUAAGCAGGCAUUCGAGAGAGUGUUCAAAAAGAGAAAUUUGUCGAGGGUAAUCCAUAGACGCAAAUGAAUCUUGAGAUUCGCUGCUGAGUCCAAGAACCAGUGAAAAAAAUAUACUCUUGAGUUAAUUAACUGUACCCACAACCGACACUGGUGCUCUGGCUGAGUAGGCCAAGACGUGUAAGGGAAAACCAAUCAAGGGAAUUCGGCAAGUUAGUCCUGUAGCUUCGGCUGAAGGGAUGUCUAUCUUUGUCUUUUCGAGAAAUCUGAAGGCAUUGAUAGAUCUCAGUAACAAGGACGGCCCGACUGUUUAACAAAAACGUAGCCAAGUGCUAAUCUGAAAAGACUUGUAUACUUGGUGAGACCUGCCCAGUGGUGGUGUCUAAAACUCCUUUUCAAGGGAGCUAAGGUCCAUCAAACGGCGGGGGUAACUAUGACCCUCUUAAGGUAGCGUAAUGCCUUGUCGUCUGAAUGGCGACGUGCAUGAAUGGUUUAACGAGGUUGUCACUGUCCCUGGUUGGAGCCUUCUGAAAAUAUUAGUCCGGUGCAAAAACCGGAGACGCCUAGUGGGAAGCUAAGACCUUGUGGAACUUUACUGCAGCUUGUUGUUGUGAUUUUAAUAAGAACGCAUAGCAUAGGUAGGAGCGUCGAAGCUUUGAUUUCGGUCAAAGUGGAGCAAUCUUGUAAUACUACCCAUUUUUCUUAAAAUUGCUUUACUCUUUAGAGGACAGCAGCAGGUGGGCAGUUUGACUGGGGCGGUGCCCAGCCGAAAAGAUAUCGGUUGGACCCAAAGACAGACUCACCUAGCUUGGAAAUCUAGGGAUGAGUGCGAGGGCAAAAGUCUGUCUAACUGUGUUUUGAACAGUAAGAAACGCAGAGAAGAAAUUCGGGCCUAGUGAACCCACGAGCUUUUUUAAUAGAAGCCGUGUCUGAUAGAAAAGUUACCCCAAGGAUAAUAAGCUGGUCGCCCCCGAUAGUCCGUAUUGACGGGGCGGUUUGGUAUUUCGCUGUCGGCUCUCCCUAUCCUGCGCGUGCAGAAGCGUGCAAGGGUGUCGGAGUUCACGCAUUAAAAGGGAUCGUUAGCUGGGUUAAGAACGUCGCGAGACAGUUUGUAUGAUAUCUACUAGGCGUGUUGUUGUCUGAGUGGAACAAGUAUCUAGUACGAGAGGAACGGUACUUGGAUGCCUCUGGUGAGCAGUUGUAAUUUGCAGGCUGCAUAGCUACGCAUUGUAUAGAUAAGAGCUGAAUGCAUCUAAGCUCGAAGCUAUCCGCAAAACGAGAUAACUAAGGCCGCGAUAGAAGAUCGCGUUGAUAGAACUCUAGUGUAAGAAUCGAGGUUCGCCGAGAUUUUCAGCUUAGAGUCACUAAAAGCCUCACAUGUUAUUUUCU
rnacentral:rRNA from 1 species